UAUGUUUUUAAUUAAAGCCCUUUGGAAAGAAACAAAGGAAGCCCCGAAAAAUCUCUUGUGAAUGCUAGCUCAAGGCAGGUGCCAGAAGCCAGGGUUGGGAACCACUAAGACACAGGGCCACAGAUUUGACUUUCUAAAGGAUUCCUGCUGUGGCGGGUUUCUUCAUUUCCUGUUUCAGAUCUGGUCUGGCAGUCCCAGGCCUGUGGCAAUGGCAAAGGCCCGCUUGAAUCCUGGCCUGCGUCUGAUGGCAGCAUUGGCAAAUCUUGACUCUGUACUUAGGGAAUUUUUUAAGCUGGUGUUUUGUGAGUACAAUUGAUUGAAUUGUGAGUAAGCCCAUUGAUUCAUUGGUUCAUUCAACAACUAACCCUUGAGCACCGAUUUGCACCAGGUACUGUUCUAGGCUCUGGCACACAAGUUUGGAUAAAGUAAGCUUUGUGUCCAUUUUCCCUCUGAGCUGAGUCCUGUACCGUCUUAUAGGACAGAAUCCAUAAGGAAAGGGGCCACCAACAUUCCCAAGGCCAGGACAAGGUGCUUGUCUGGAAGGUGGCCUCAUACAAGGAUUAGUACAAGGGGGUGUGCUAGAAACUCCACCUGAGUUUCUCAUUUAAAUUUGCUUUAUGUUCGUUUUACAAAUGUAGAGAGUGAGGCCCAGGGAGGUUAAGUGGCUUCCUCAAAGGCAUAGAUCUGGGGGCACCUGGGUGGCUCAGUGUGUUAAGCCUCUGGCUUCGGCUCAGGUCAUGAUCUCAGGGUCCAGGGAUCGAGCUCCGCAUUCGGCUCUCUGCUCAGUAGGGAGCCUGCUUCCCCCUAUCCUGCCUUCCUCUCUGCCUGUGAUCUCUGUCAAAUAAAUAAAUAAAAUCUUAAAAAUAAAUAAAUAAAAGGCACGAAUCUGGGAAUAGCGAGUCUAGGAUUGGAACCCCAGCAGCCUGCCUCAGGGGACUGCCUUGCAGAAUACCAUGCUUUCCUGCUUCUUGUGAAGAUGUAAACCAUUUGGGUGGCUGGAGAGAGACAGAGGAUAGAGCUCAUUUGAUUCAUGGACCUUGUGAAAGGCUUUUGCUAUGAGACCACCCGGUGUUUUCUCUUUGUGCACAAGGGUUUUUUUGUUUUUGUUUUUGUUUUCUCAAAUUCUGGUUUCUGUGCAUAUAACUAACAAUAAAGACUUUUGAUAAUUACAUGGAUCGAGUUAUUUUGGACUCCAUGCUAAAAUACGUAGAGUCCUAGAAUUGGAAGAAAAUUAGAAAUGUAUGUAUUAUCACAUAUAUACAUAUGAUACAUGUUUCUGUGAUUGUAGAUUGCAAGCCACUGAUAAGUUAAGAAAUCAGUUUAGUGGGAUCAAGGCCAACCUUUUAAAAACAUAAAAUGAAAUUCAAUAGGAAAACCAAAGAAAACAGGAGCUAUUGCUUUGCCCCUUCUUAUAUUUUAGCUUCCAUGAAGGCUCCUGUAUUGGUCAGAUUAGGUUAGACUAUGCUGUAGUAACAAACCCUAAAAUGUCAAUAGCCUAACACAGUACAAGUGUACUUGUCAGCCAUCUCAGAGACAUCUCCCAGCCCCAUGGAACAGGGAGAGAAAGGAUGAUCACCAGGACAUUUAAUAAACAUGUAAGUGAUGAAUAUCCCUUCUGCCCAUAGUCUGUUGAGUAGAGCUCAGUUGUGAGGUCAACCGCAGAGGAGGCUGAGAAAUGUUGAGAGGUACCCAGGUAUGGAGGAGCGCUAAUGGUCUAACUCAUGUCUUCCUUACUGUCCCUUUUUUUCUUUAUCAGAACACCCUGUUGUUGCCCUUGGAACACUUCCUUACAUCGGUCACACACACAUAUGUGAAGUUAUUUGCCCAUCUGUUUUUCUGCCUGUUGUCAUUCUUCCUUUCUCUCUGGACUGGGGAUUGUCAAAUUAUCACCUGCAGGCCAAACCAGGCCUGUGACCUGUUUUUGUAGAGCUGCGAGGAACAGUUUUACAUGUUUUCAUGAGUUGCAAAAGAAGGGGGAGAAGGACAAAAAAGAGAGGAAGAAUUACUCACCAAAGAGAUAGUCUGUGAACCAUAGGCCCUAAAGUAUUUACUGUUUGCCUUUUCAUAGAGAAAUUCUGCAAACUCCUGCUCUAGAUGGUGAGCGUCUGGAGGGUAGACAUGGAGUCUCUUUGCUUCCCACGCUAUCCACAGAGUGAGUCUGAUACCUGGGGCCCCUGGAUGGCUCAGUCAGUGAAGCAUCUGCCUUCGGCUCAGAUCGCGCGUGAUCUUGGGGUCCUGGGAUCAAGCCCUGUGUCAGGCAUCCUGCUCAGCGGGAAGCCUGCUUCUCCCUCUGCUCCUCCCCCUACCCUCCUGCUCAUGUACACAUACUCUUUCUCUCAAAUAAAUAAAAUCUUCAUAAAAAAU